AGAGUUUGAUCCUGGCUCAGAUUGAACGCUGGCGGCAUGCCUUACACAUGCAAGUCGAACGGCAGCACGGGAGCAAUCCUGGUGGCGAGUGGCGAACGGGUGAGUAAUGUAUCGGAACGUACCAUUGAGUGGGGGAUAACGUAGCGAAAGUUACGCUAAUACCGCAUAUACCCUGAGGGGGAAAGCAGGGGAUCGCAAGACCUUGUGCUCUUUGAGCGGCCGAUAUCAGAUUAGCUAGUUGGUGAGGUAAAGGCUCACCAAGGCGACGAUCUGUAGCGGGUCUGAGAGGAUGAUCCGCCACACUGGAACUGAGACACGGUCCAGACUCCUACGGGAGGCAGCAGUGGGGAAUUUUGGACAAUGGGGGCAACCCUGAUCCAGCCAUGCCGCGUGAGUGAAGAAGGCCUUCGGGUUGUAAAGCUCUUUCGGGCCGGGA
rnacentral:rRNA from 1 species